ACUCGAUUUCACAAAACAGUCAAGAGUAAUCAAACCCACUUCAUUAAAAAUCCCGAUUCACCAUUACAACACUGUCUUCAGCAACGAUUGCCUCAGUCUUCCCAUAACCCUAUGAAGAAAAAAAACCUAAUUCUCUGUCUUCUUUCUCCGCCUGAAGCAUGAAGCUAGCUCUCUCGAUCCUUCAAAACCCCUCCAAAACUAUAUUCUCUCC
rnacentral:lncRNA from 1 species